CAAAGGCAGUCCUGGCGGAUGGCUGAAGUUGUUCAUGAUAAUAAAAACACAGGCGAAAGCGAAACUGUUGUUGAGUCCAAACGACUGGAGCGCCCUAAUUUCUGAGCGGCGCCACAAACGCACGAAAAGGCAUAACAAUGGGUAAAAUCUACCAGGUGAUGGUCCACGGACUGAGGGACGAGAAGUUACUGAUCGACCUGUGUAACACCGAGGAGCAGAUGAAGAGCAUGACGGUGCUGCAGCUGAAGGAGAAGAUCUCUGAGAAACUGCCGGACAACGCAGGCGAGGACGCUCUGCGCCUGGUCUUUACGGACAAGCCGCUGGAUGAGGACCACAAGCCUCUGUCUGAAUAUGGAAUCCAGCACAUGUCCGUCAUCCACAUGAUCCUGAAGGUUCCUGGAGGGGAAGCUGUCCUCAGCGGGGGAUGUGGCCAGAGGACGUCCGCUGCUUUGCCUUCCAGUCUCCCUGUGUCUGUUACAGCCUGCUGAUGAUACUCCAUGACACUAAGCCGUCUGAUAUUCCUGCCACUUUCUGCUGUUAGGAGACUUUCACAUAAGAUCUGACAUCAAGGUACUUCUAACACUAAAUUCUUUAACUGUGACUUUCACUGAGAUCACAUUGGGAAAUGUGGGGCAAUGAUAACCAGUUAAAACACAGGGCAGGAGGAAACACCAGGAGAUCUGGACCUGCUCAUCUUUCUUCAAACAAGC